CGUGCGCCGGCCGAGAGGUGUCGGCGGCGAGGCAAAGGAAGUUUCAAGUGGAAGGUCGUCCGUCGGCCGGCGCGUCCUCCUGCUCUCCUCCGCAGCAUCAUGGCGGAGCCGAGCGGCUCGCCCGUGCACGUCCAGCUUCCCCAGCAGGCGGCCCCGGUGACAGCGGCGGCGGCGGCGGCCCCAGCGGCCGCGACAGCAGCGCCGGCCCCGGCAGCUCCCGCGGCCCCGGCCCCGGCCCCAGCCCCGGCGGCACAGGCUGUCGGCUGGCCCAUCUGCAGGGACGCGUACGAGCUGCAGGAGGUUAUCGGCAGUGGAGCUACUGCUGUGGUUCAGGCAGCCCUAUGCAAACCCAGGCAAGAACGUGUAGCAAUAAAACGGAUCAACUUGGAAAAAUGCCAGACCAGUAUGGAUGAACUAUUAAAAGAAAUUCAAGCCAUGAGUCAGUGCAGCCAUCCCAACGUAGUGACUUAUUACACCUCUUUUGUGGUCAAAGAUGAACUUUGGCUGGUCAUGAAAUUACUAAGUGGAGGUUCAAUGUUGGAUAUCAUAAAAUACAUUGUCAACCGAGGAGAACACAAGAAUGGAGUUCUGGAAGAGGCAAUAAUAGCAACAAUUCUUAAAGAGGUUUUGGAAGGCUUAGACUAUCUACACAGAAACGGUCAGAUUCACAGGGAUUUGAAAGCUGGUAAUAUUCUUCUGGGUGAGGAUGGUUCAGUACAAAUAGCAGAUUUUGGGGUAAGUGCGUUCCUAGCAACAGGGGGUGAUGUUACCCGAAAUAAAGUAAGAAAAACGUUCGUUGGCACCCCAUGUUGGAUGGCUCCUGAAGUCAUGGAACAGGUGAGAGGCUAUGACUUCAAGGCUGACAUGUGGAGUUUUGGAAUAACUGCCAUUGAAUUAGCAACAGGAGCAGCGCCUUAUCACAAAUAUCCUCCCAUGAAAGUGUUAAUGUUGACUUUGCAAAAUGAUCCACCCACUUUGGAAACAGGGGUAGAGGAUAAAGAAAUGAUGAAAAAGUACGGCAAGUCCUUUAGAAAAUUACUUUCACUGUGUCUUCAGAAAGAUCCUUCCAAAAGGCCCACAGCAGCAGAACUUUUAAAAUGCAAAUUCUUCCAGAAAGCCAAGAACAGAGAGUACCUGAUUGAGAAGCUGCUUACAAGAACACCAGACAUAGCCCAAAGAGCCAAAAAGGUAAGAAGAGUUCCUGGGUCAAGUGGUCACCUUCAUAAAACCGAAGACGGGGACUGGGAGUGGAGUGACGACGAGAUGGAUGAGAAGAGCGAAGAAGGGAAAGCAGCUUUUUCUCAGGAAAAGUCACGAAGAGUAAAAGAAGAAAAUCCAGAGAUUGCAGUGAAUGCCAGCACCAUCCCCGAACAAAUACAGUCCCUCUCUGUGCACGACUCUCAGGGCCCACCCAAUGCUAAUGAAGACUACAGAGAAGCUUCUUCUUGUGCCGUGAACCUCGUUUUGAGAUUAAGGUGAAGAAAUCUGGAUAAAAAAUUUAUUGGGAAGGAUUUCAUGUUUUGAACUGUUGUCCAGUGAGGUUAUAUGGCAGUAAUUUUCUCCAGUAGGGAAUUCCUAAAGUUAUCCCAUUUUGAAGAAGAAACUCCAGAAAGGAACUUAAUGACAUCCGAUUCGAGUUUACUCCAGGAAGAGAUACAGCAGAUGGUGUAUCUCAGGAGCUCUUCUCUGCUGGCUUGGUGGAUGGUCACGAUGUAGUUAUAGUGGCUGCUAAUUUACAGAAGAUUGUAGAUGAUCCCAAAGCUUUAAAAACAUUGACAUUUAAGUUGGCUUCUGGCUGUGAUGGUUCGGAGAUUCCUGAUGAAGUGAAGCUGAUUGGGUUUGCUCAGUUGAGUGUCAGCUGAUGUAUGUCCCUUGAUGUCACCCUGAUCUGUCAUGUCCCACCCCCACCCCUACUCCCUUCAACCCUCCCUCUUUCUGCCCAUUUCGUCCCACCCCCUCACUCCCAUUUCCUAGCAAAUUCAGAAGAUUGUGAAGAGGCCGGCUUCAACAAAAUGGGAUAAAAAAAUAAUUUUUUAAAACUUACUACACUCCGAGUUCUGCUUUAUUCUCUAGCAAUCCACAGUACAAGAACAAGCAAAUGCCACAGCUGCACGACUGUUGCUAAUUUUUCCAAAAGCUAUUUAAUAUUCUUAGCAAUCAAUUUGGAUAUCCCUUAAGUGAAAAGAAUCUGAAAUACACUCAGGUGGUCUUAUUUAUUGGCAACAAAAGGAAUUUUCUAUCCAGAAGCCUAUUUCUCCUUUCAUUGUUGUUAUUUCUGUUAUAAUACUUUAAUUGUACAUCUGACAAUACUGCCUCUUUUAUGUUGUAUUUAGAAAUUAAUAUACUUAUAAAAUUAAGAUUUAUUAGCCAAACUUGAAUUCUAGUUUUAAAACUGACUGUGAAUUUUAUUUUUCAUAUAUUUAUGCAUUACACACCUUAGCUAUAAGAAAAAAAGGGUUUUGAUUAUAUGCUUCUUGCAGUUAAUCUUGUUAUUUAAACAAAAAGUUUUGGGUCUAUCUUUGGAGUAUUUGUAACUUCUAAAUUUUGAAAUGACUGAAUUAGGAAUUUGGAUGCUUAUUCUUUUAGUCUGUUUGCCUAAAAACCAAUUUACAAUCUGACUGUCUCUUGGGAGAGGGAGGUGCCUUGCAAACUUUCACAUUAAGAAUGUGCCUGAGGCUGCUUUACUCUGGAAUAGUCUCAGAUCUAAAAUUUCCUCUAUAUAAGGUGGCAUAUGUUAAGUUUUGCUUCAUUGGACCGUUUAGAAUGCUAUGUAAAAUGUUGCCAUUCUGUUAGAUUGCUAACUAUAUACCCAUCUCUGAUUUGGCUCUCCUUAAGUGAUAGGGUUUGUUAUUCUAAAGGUGAUAAACUUGAAAAUAUCAGAAUCUGAGUUUUACUUGAAAUUUUGCAGAAUACCCAGGUGGAGUGAAAAUUGGAAGGGUUUUGUGCAGUGACUAAAAGGUAAAACGCUGUUAAGGUUCAAGAAUCAAUACUUUCAACCCAAGUAGCGCUCUGCUUGACUGUAUAUUAUGGAACUAGUAAACCUUAGGAUUUUGAAAAUUGGAGUCUAAUCUUUCAGGGAGGUGGGCUCCCAGGAUGGUACCAUUGCUCUUUCCUAGCUAACCCUAGAUAUGGCAGCUCUUUAAAGUACUUUAAAAAGCAAAUAUAUAUUACUAAGGAAAAAAAGUUAUUUAUAAUUGCCUUGUCAUAAUUGUUAAGGUGUUCUAGAGCCAUUUGCAUACAAUUUAAUGUAAUUUCAUUCCAUUCUAUUGUUUACACAACGAUUACUCGAAGAUGACUGCAAAGGUAAAAGGAAAAUAAAAGUGUAUUGCACAACGA